CACCGUAAACUGAAUAGAGUUGACAAUCGAAGAGGGAGGAAAUCUGUAAACCGAACGAUAUAAACUUGUUUCUGUAAAUAUAAUAUUAGUAAAAGAAGAAGCUAAGUUCGGCCGGGACAGAGGGUGUUUGUCAGUUCACCUACCAGGCGCGUCCCCACCCCACGAACUGGGUGGAACUAAUAAAUUCAGGGUUGUCAACAUCGGACGCAACAGUACUGAGACAGGGGAAUGGAAACAUAUACCUAGCGUCAGCAUACCUACCGUUCGACGCGCCGACAUUACCACCUUCGUCGGAACUGCAGCGGCUGGUGAGCAAAACAAAACAAACAGGUAACGAAGUACUAGUAGGUAGCGAUGCUAACUCUCACCANAUUGCGUGGUCUAGUACUAACAUUAAUAAAAGGGGCCAGUCCCUACUAGAUUAUCUAAAUCAGCUAUGGGCAGCCUCGAACGAAAAAAUAUAAACAAAC
rnacentral:sRNA from 1 species